UUGGAGAAUAAAUCCAUUUCCAUAGGCAGC
rnacentral:piRNA from 1 species